rnacentral:sRNA from 1 species
GCCGGGUGUGGUGGCGCACGCCUGUAAUCCCAGCUACUCAGGAGGCUAAGGCAGGAGAAUCGCUUGAACCCGGGAGGCAGAGGUUGCAGUGAGCCGAGAUUGCGCCACUGCACUCCAGCCUGGGCAACAGAGCAAGACUCUGUCUCAA